UGAAGUUAAACAUAAUUGCGCCAGUUUGAUCGCUGAGUGUGACACAAAUGGUCGAUGAAUAAUAUUUUGGUGAAAAAAAUAUGGAACAGCAGCAGGUUUAUGUGGAUAGUGUGAAUAUCACGGGUAGUGGUUAUAAAUAUAAAGUUCUUAUUUGCUACAGGCUUAAACAAUUACUGUUUUCCAUUUAAAAUUUCUGCAAUUUUGUGUUUGUGUAACUUUGAAGUAAUGGAUGAAGAUUUUUGAAGUAGACAAGAUUUGAAGUUGUAGUCGUUUUAGCUGUGAUUGCAGAUUAUUCUCGUUCGGAGUAAAGUGUUUUUUCGCAAAUGAAAUAAUAUAAACAUUCUUCGCGUGCUCAACACAGGACUAUUCCUUGUAUCUACAGUU